GCUUUAUUUAUAAUAUGUAAGAAAAACAUAAAAAAAUUCAGUUGGGGCGACUAAGGAAAAAUCAUCCUAAUACUUUAAGAUAAACAAAUCUAUAAAAAGAUCCUAAUAAAUAGAUCAAAGAAACUAGC
rnacentral:rRNA from 1 species